UGCUCGAGUGGCGAACGGGUGAGUAACACGUGAGUAACCUGCCCUUGACUUUGGGAUAACUUCAGGAAACUGGGGCUAAUACCGGAUAGGAGCUCCUGCUGCAUGGUGGGGGUUGGAAAGUUUCGGCGGUUGGGGAUGGACUCACGGCUUAUCAGCUUGUUGGUGGGGUAGUGGCUUACCAAGGCUUUGACGGGUAGCCGGCCUGAGAGGGUGACCGGCCACAUUGGGACUGAGAUACGGCCCAG
rnacentral:rRNA from 1 species